AAUCAACGCUGGCGGCGUGCCUAACACAUGCAAGUCGAACGCGAAAGUCCCGCAAGGGGCAAGUAGAGUGGCAAACGGGUGAGUAACACGUGGGUGACCUGCCUUCGAGUGGGGGAUAACGUCCCGAAAGGGACGCUAAUACCGCAUAACAUCCUGCCUUUGAAGAGGCGGACAUCAAAGCUGGGGACCGCAAGGCCUGGCGCUUGAAGGAGGGGCCCGCGCCUGAUUAGCUAGUGGUGGGGUAAUGGCUCACCAAGGCAUCGAUCAGUACCCGGCCUGAGAGGGCGGACGGACACACUGGGACUGAGACACGGCCCAGACUCCUACGGGAGGCAGCAGUGGGGAAUUGUUCGCAAUGGGCGCAAGCCUGACGACGCAACGCCGCGUGGAGGACGAAGACCU
rnacentral:rRNA from 1 species